rnacentral:rRNA from 1 species
AGCUCCGAUAGCAUAUAUUAAAGUUGUUGUAGUUAAAAAGCUUGUAGUUGGAUGUCUGGCUGUGCAUGUGGGUACACUCUUACGAGUGUGCAUCGUAGAUGUUUGGUCAUCUUUUGGGAGAGCCACAGUGGCAUUAAGUUGUUGGUAUAUGGAUCCCAAUCCUUUACUGUGAAGAAACUAUAGUGUUCAAAGCAGGCUUACAUCGUUGAAUAUAUUAGCAUGGAAUAAUAUCAUAGGACUAUUGUACUAUUUUGUUGGUUUGUGCACGAUAGCAACAACUAACAGGGACAGUUGGGGGUAUUUGUAUUCCAUUGUCAGAGGUGAAGUUAUUGGAUUUUUGGAAGACAAACUACUGUGAAAGCAUUUACCAAGGAUGUUUCCA